ensembl:snoRNA SNORA63 Small nucleolar RNA SNORA63
AAGCAGAAUUCAGACUACAAUAUAGCUGUUAAGUGCUAUGUUGUCAUUUUCCCUGCUUAAAAUAAAGUUUUUUCUUAACUAUAUCUGCCUGUUAUCUCCUGCAGCAGCCAGGGAUGCUUGGUUUCAUACAU